rnacentral:lncRNA from 1 species
CUGGUCUCGGCCCGGCUCGGCUCGGCUCGGCGUCGGCUCUCCGCACCGGCGGGUCGGCGCGCUCCGUAAGCUUUGCUCUCGCUCCCCCGUCCGACCGCUCGGGUGCCCUGCAGCCUCGCCCGGCGCCCUACUCCUUCCCAGCGAAGGGCCCUUCCCGGAGCCUGGAAUGCAGCUUAUUCCUCGAACCAAACUGACCUGGGAAGGAAAUCUAUGCAUGUUUAAAUUCAUCUACCAAGUGCCUUAGAAAGUGCAUCAUAUUGAAAAUAAGUGUCCUCUGUUACACACCAAGCAAAAAGACAAUUUAGAGGAAAUGAGGAGGAAAGAGAAGACAGAUAACAAAGAGAAG